rnacentral:misc_RNA from 1 species
CAACAUAAAUUUUCUACUUUUUCUCUUUGAUUCAACAAAUAUUAAAUAAAACAAAAGGAGGGAACUUUAAAAAACCACCACCACAAAACCUUACUGAUAGCCACAUCGUUCGCAAUCAGUUUAAAAUCUUGUAGUCAUCAACCAAUUGAAUAUGAACAAAAGACUACGGACUGCAUUUAUACAUGGAAUUAAUGUGUGCUAAGCGCUUGAAAAUUGCUCGUUUCCCGAUUGUACACUGCUCCGAUUUUCAACUUUAGUAUUCUUCAUUUGUCGAAGAAAAAAGGGGUUACAAGAGUCGAUAAUCAAUGUUAAAGAGACAUUAAAAAAGGUCGCAUAUUUCACCAUUAAACCCUUUGCUGCCACAACUAAAUCUUUGAAGGAUUGGACCAAAAACUUAGUUUUGAAUCCGUAAGCCUUGAAUCCAGCUCCGCUGAUGAAAACUCAAAGGGCAAAUCCACCUAGGUAAACAAUAUUAUACCUGGUAUUUCGAUAAUUUAUCCUUAACUGGAGGCUCCAAAGCUGAUAGGCAGCGUUCCCAUGAUCCAUCACUUAGCAUCUGUUUAUAUACAUGCAACACCUGGCAAAUUUCGUUGUGUAGAUCCUCACUCCUCAUUACAUGCCAACUUGCGAUAGCUCUGCAUAUGUACUCCAGUGAAUUCAAUGCCCCAGAUGGAUUUAAUCUCACAAUUGCAAAUAGACCACGGAAUGCAUCUUCCUUCUCAACAUCAUCACGAAUCAUGGAUAAAGCAGCACACCAUGGUUGCAUAAAAUGCUCCAUAUGUGGCGACACAAUCUCUGGACAGACCCAAGCAAGUCUCCCAAGUGUGAUGGCGCUAUUUUCUACCAGUGACCUAUUGAUACCCUCUGCAUGGAGGAGGAUUGGAACUAGGCAGGAGAAAACAGUCAUCACAACCGGUGAAACUUCUUCACGAACCUGAUAAUUCAAUGAACAAAAUAGGAUCACUCUUGACAGGUGUACUGUUAAUUUUUUGCAUGAGUUCAGGUUAAAGUGGUAUUAUCAGAGAGACCCAGGUUCAAUAAGCAAGUGUGCAUGUGCAGACACACAUUAGUCCAUCCACCAAAUCCGUGCAGCCACGUAGAACUGCAAAUGCAAGUAUAGAAGAAGUACAAUCUAGGCUAUAGUAAGAAGUAAGAGCCAUUUAAUAAAUAUUCAAGAAACAUGCACAGUAGUAGAAUAACAAAGUGUUUAACUAGCUCAUUUAUGACAGAAUCUUUUUGCUUUAGUUAGUGAAUGAAAGCAAAGCAUUAACUAUCCAUCCAUAGAUGAAAAUGAACAAAAAUCCCAGGUCCACCUUGAAAAGCAUCGAAACUAAUUAUCUAAAUAGUAAGACCAACUGCAAAUCUGCCCUCAUGAAAAGCUUCUAUACAUUCUAGGAUUGCCUACAUUGAUAUCCAGCUGGUGCAAGCAAGCAUAAAAUAGCAUCCAGAAACAUUUUAGUCAAACUUGGAAAAAGUACAUCAGAAAUUGAAGAGCCAACGUUAAUUGCUAAUUCACCAAUUGCCCAGCAUGCAUUAUUUGUCACUGAAAAUGAUUCCUUUAGAUCAGAAGCACCCAGUUGUUUGGCUGCAAUUUUAAGAAAGUUGGAUAAAGAGGGACGCAAAUACACUGGGCAAAAUCUUGCUAGGUCUCCUAGUAGUGCAAGAGCACUUUGUCGGACAUCAGGAGCAUCAUCCACACAGCACUGCAGAAGUACAUCGCUCAAAUUGCUUUGUGAAACCAAACUCUCAAUGCCGCUACCAAGACCUUCUGCAAGCCCUGAGACUAGGUCCAAAGAGCAGACAACAAACUCUUUGUCAUAUUGAACUCCAGUGGAUGCAGGAUCAACCUUUGCCAAUUGUUGUGACUGGAUGAUGUUUAUGCACCUCCGGAAUACUGGUCCAGCAAAUUGAGAGAAUCCAGUUCCAAGUGCCUGUGCUAUAGAUGCAAAGCACUCUAACAGUGGGAAAAUAUCUUUAUCUGAAUCAGAAAGUUGCUGCCACUUUGCAAUUAAUGGAGGCAUCAGAAUCUCAAGAUAUCUAGGCUGAUUAAGUUUCACUCGAACAGCAUCUGCUAAAGUACUGAUAGCGUCAUAAACAAUUCGAAGAUUUCUUCUCUGAUAUCUUCCAAAGGCACACAUAAGGUGCUGGAGAAUAGUUUCCAAAUAUGGCGCCAACUCUUUAGCAGCUUCCUCUUCUAGUGUAGCAAAAGCAGAACAAGCAGCCUCUUGCACCCGCUUGUUAGUGUCUAAAAUCCUCCGUAAAAGACCCAUAAGAACUUUGUUGAAUUGUUCAGCACCCUUUUGGUUAGCAAUACUCUGGACAAUAAAUUUGCUAAAGCGAGAAAGUGUCCAACAGGUAAUACUCCUAAGCAACGGAAAUUUAUCAUCUAAUACAGGGAUGAGAUAUGCCACAAUCUCAGCCAAAUGAGGGUAAAGACCUUCAAUGCAACCCUCAGCUAUAGCACCAAGUGCCAGCACUGCUGCUUCCCUUUCCUUCCAGGUCUCAUCAUCAGAGGUAGAUAGCUUAGCCUGAUCCAAGAAAUAUAGGUUAAACAUUGUAAAAAUAUGAAGUUCCAAAGUGGGGUGAAAAAAUGAGUUUGUUCAACAGUGGCAUAUUCAUCCAACAAGAAGCAACAAAAACAGAAUGGAAUAUUAUUGAUUGCAUGAAUGCUGCAGGAAGACAUUUAUUGAAGUAAAAGAGAAUUUCCUAUUUUAACUAUAAACUAAUUAAAAUUUCUAAGGAGGGAGGAGGGAGGGAGAAUAGAAAACAAACAAAGCAAAUUUUUGGUAUAAACUUUAGAAGCAAAUAAAGCCAAGUUAUUAGAUAUAAUAUGGAGGAUAAAAAAUACACAUGGAAUAGCUUCUAUGGAUUCUGUUUGUUUUACUUUCUUCUUAUUUUCUUAUCUCUAGGUUUUCUGCCAGGUUACAAGCUAGACCCAGAAAUUAAUUAACCCUUCAUAAUAUACAAAAAAUACUACGGAGUCCAAUUUCUAUGCCAAAAAGCAUGUGAGCCAAUACCGAAUGAUUCAAAAGAGCAAGCUGAACUAUCAAAAAGUUAAUUGAUCAACUCUCAAUGGAUGGCACCUGCAUUAGAUACUUUUUACUAUUAAAUCACAACCAAAGGCAACUUUUAGUGCUGUAAUCUCUUCCCAAUGGUGCAGGACAUUACCUCAACUAAAGGCAUUAAUGUUGGAAGAAUUUCUUCCCUAUAAAUAUUUGAAAUAAUGUCAAGGCCAGCUGCACUGCAUUUCCUUAAGUUCCAAACAUUUAAACUGUCAUCAUCAUCAUCCUUCAUAUCAUCUGAUCCGUGAAACCUGGAUGAAUGAAAGCGAGGCCUCAUAUCCUGAUCCCUGUCUGGUUGUGAGUCAUCCUCCUCAGCAUCAAUAAGAGACUCAUCAUCAUCAGCAUAAACCAUAUUUGACAACAAAAUCUAAAAAUAUGAGACAGCAAUAUUAGAAAAGGGACUAGAAAAUAGAUGGUCAAAGAUUGAUCACAAGCUCAUGAGUUAUACUGGGAUUAGUUGCUGCAAGAACUCCCUUAGAAGUUCAGGGUUUAAUUGAGCUUCGCAGUAUACUGACCUGACAGUCAGAACAAACAUUUCCAGAUAUGUGAAUACCCCUUAUUGAGAUUAUUAUAACAUUAAAAAAAAUACAAAAUUUAAAAUCUAAUAGACUAAGGGAAUUUUGGUACUAUGAUAACACUUGAAGCUCUCUUCUUAUCCACAAUAAUAUUUGAUAAUCUUACAUCUAUAAAAAUUCCCACGUAUUCACACUUACUAGAAGAAAAGAAUUUUUUUUCUUCAUUAACCAAAAAAGUCCGGCAAUGCCUGGACAUUCCUCAAGAAAUAUGCAUACUACUAGAAAUCACAAUGCAAUAAUUAGAUAUUUUCAUUUAUAGUGGUCGAUAAAACUGGUUGAAAUGAAAAAAAAAAUGACACUUUUUGUAAGAAGGAACAAUUUAUCAUCCAGUAUUGUAGACUGCAUUAAUCUCCUUCACAAAAAUGGAUAAUACUGUCACUGCUAAAGCUAACGAUUAAAUAAUUCGUAAAAAGAAAAAGAGUGUGAAUUAAUAGGGAUACCAAAAUUCACAAGCUUCAAGGGCAACCUCAUCAUCAUUAUCCUUGUUUGCUUGCAACAUGAAUUCAAUGAGAUUAUUCAUAUGUGGCUCCAGGAAAGAAGGAUUAACUUCAAUCAGUUGAACAAAUGCUGAACAAACCAAUUUUCGAAUGUCUGAAGCAGGGUCGCAAGCAAGAACAAAUAAGCCACGAAGGAACUGAUCCAUGGACAGAUAAAGAGCAGUGGGCAUCAGCAUAAUAAAUUGAUUUACUGAUCCUAGAGAUAGCUUCCUUAGAGAGGCAUGUGGUGACUGGAAAAACUGAAAUAAUCUAGGCAGGAAAACAUCAAUAGGACGUCCAGCUAAUCCAGGUACAUCAGAAUCAAGCUCUUGUGGAAUAUCUUCACAGAUCUUGGAUAAAGUAUCCAUGGCACCUUCCAUAUGGUUGAUAUCAUUGCUGUCCAAGCACUGCAUAAGAGCUUGCAACAGCUCUGGCCAGCCAAGAAUUCGUUCCUGCUGAACAAUGACACUGAUAAUUGUUCCAACUGUAGUCCUAAUGUGCUUAUCCGCUGCUCCUAAACAAGGUAACAGCUCUGAUUUUAUAUAUUGUUGAUACGCAGGAUCCAUGGACUUGAAAGCACUUCUUAGAUUAUUUUUGAGCAAUAGACCCGCAGCCUGUCGAAUUUCAACUGAUGUGCCCUGAGCGCGGGCAAAAAUAAAAGCAAGAUAGUUGUUGAAAUCGGGGAUUUGAGUAAAGUGCUGAAGUUGUUGCCAAAUGCGAGGUUUAUCAGAAGUAGGCGAAAUAUGCUGCUCGAGUAGACCACAUAUCUCUCUCAGGCCUUCUUCCUUUGGUUGCCAUACAGCUUGUGUCGCCAUUUUUAAUGUGCAAAGGAAUCUGAAGAAGCAGAAUCACACCAAGCUGAAGGCCACGAAACAGAAGAAAACGAUCAUCAUACCAAGUAUGAGUAGAAAAAUUGUGUUGUGAGACCAGUUUUCGAAUUUUGCAAUUAUUCCCCUGAAUUUUAAGUUAAUCGCAAUUGGUCCGCAUUAUUUGUCCGUCAAAGCGGCGGAAAUUCAUUAACAGGGAAUUAUUAUAAUCAUUUUUAGCAAAAAAU